GACGUAGGAGGCGAGCGUUAUCCGGAUUCACUGGGCGUAAAGCGCAUGUAGGCGGUUUUCUAAGUCCGGUGUUAAAGCCCCUGGCUCAACUGGGGGAGGUCAUCGGAGACUAGAGGACUGGAGGGCAACAGAGGCACGUGGAACUCCCGGUGUAGCGGUGGAAUGCGUAGAGAUCGGGAAGAACACCAGUGGCGAAGGCGACGUGCUGGGUUGCACCUGACGCUGAGAUGCGAAAGUGUGGGGAGCAAACGGG
rnacentral:rRNA from 1 species